CGUAGGUGGCAAGCGUUGUUCGGAAUUAUUGGGCGUAAAGGGCGCGUAGGCGGUUUGUUAAGUCGGCUGUGAAAGCCCGGGGCUCAACCCCGGAGGGUCAGCCGAUACUGGCAGACUAGAGUACGGAAGAGGUAGCUGGGAUUCCCGGUGUAGCGGUGAAAUGCGUAGAUAUCGGGAGGAACACCUGAGGCGAAGGCGGGCUACUGGGCCGAUACUGACGCUGAUGCGCGAAAGCCAGGGGAGCGAACGGGAUUAGAUACCCCGGUAGUCCUGGCCCUAAACUAUGGACACUUGGUGUGUCGGGUAUUCCAGUCCCGAUGUGCCGGAGCUAACGCGUUAAGUGUCCCGCCUGGGGAGUACGGUCGCAAGGCUG
rnacentral:rRNA from 1 species